GUCAGAGCCUGGCCCAGCCAGUCCAGCCUACUUAAAGAGCGUCCAGCGUCUUCAGCUAGUCAGACCAGUACAGUGGUCAACGAGCGUCUUCAGGAGCUGGUCCGGAUGUUUAAAGAGAGAACCGAGAAGGCUAAGGAGAAACUCAUUGACCCUGACAGCUCAGAUGAAGACAGCAUUAUCCCAUCUCCUCCUCAGGCUUCAGCUCCUCAGCCUGCUCCUGCAGCUCAGCCGGUGGACGAGGGAGAGGCACAAGCAGAAAGUGGAGCAGAGGAGGAGCAGUGUGGCCGCCGCAGCAAGGUGAAAACUCCUCGAUGGAUACAAGCCUGUAUGCACUACCGCUUCCCUGCCAGCAUCGACCCCUUCACCAACCUGAUGUACGUGCUGUGGAUGCUACUGGUCACUCUGGCAUGGAACUGGAACGUGUGGUUCAUCCCUGUGCGCUGGGCGUUUCCCUACCAGACUCCAGACAAUAUUUACUACUGGCUGCUGAUCGACUACCUGUGUGACCUUAUUUACAUUCUGGACAUCAGCAUCUUUCAGCCGCGGCUGCAGUUUAUCCGAGGAGGGGACAUAGUGUUUGACAAAAAAGAAAUGAGAAAGAACUACAUGAAAACCAAACGCUUCAAAUUUGAUGUAGCCAGCCUUAUUCCGCUGGAACUCUUCUAUUUUAAAACUGGCGUCAACCCUCUACUUCGCUUACCCAGACUACUGAAGAUCAACUCCUUUUUUGAGUUCAACGAGCGUCUCGAGGCCAUCUUAACCAAAGCCUACAUCUACAGGGUGAUACGUACGACCACCUACCUUCUUUACUGUCUCCACUGCAACGCCUGUCUGUACUACUGGGGCUCUGCCUUCAAUGGACUAGGAUCAACAAAAUGGGUGUAUGAUGGCAAGGGCAACAGUUACAUUCGCUGUUACUACUUUGCGGUGAAGACCCUCAUCACCAUUGGCGGUCUGCCGGACCCCACCACCCUGUUUGAGAUUGUCUUCCAACUUAUCAACUACUUUGUUGGAGUCUUCGCCUUCUCUAUCAUGAUUGGACAGAUGCGUGACGUGGUCGGUGCAGCCACAGCUGGUCAGACUUACUACCGCACAUGUAUGGACAACACGAUUAAAUACAUGUCCUCCUAUCGAAUCCCCAAAGACGUCCAAAACCGUGUCAAAACCUGGUACAACUAUACCUGGCAAUCACAAGGCAUGCUAGAUGAGCAGGAGUUACUGACUCAGUUGCCAGAUAAAAUGCGUCUGGACAUUGCUAUAGAUGUCAACUAUUCCAUCGUCAGCAAAGUCCCCCUUUUCCAGGGUUGUGACAGACAGAUGAUCUUUGACAUGCUGAAAAGCUUACGCUCCGUUGUUUACCUGCCUGGAGAUUAUGUCUGCAAAAAGGGUGAGGUGGGUCGGGAGAUGUACAUCAUAAAAGCAGGGGAGGUGCAGGUGGUUGGAGGGCCUGAUGGAAAGACAGUCUUUGUAACUCUCAGAGCAGGAUCAGUGUUUGGAGAGAUCAGUUUGCUUGCAGUAGGCGGGGUUAACAGGCGCACAGCAAACGUGAUCGCACACGGCUUUGCCAAUCUCUUCAUCCUGGACAAGAAAGACCUGAAUGAGAUCCUGGUCCACUAUCCCGAGUCCAAGAAACUGCUCCGCAAGAAGGCCAGAAAGAUGCUUGCUAAGGGAAAGAAACCUGAACCCAAAGCAGAGGCUAAGGAUCCACCUCAGGUCCCGCCAGCCCCUGUUAGGGCGGAGACCCCUAGACUGCUGAGAGCUGCCCUGGAGAUGACAGAGAGAUCGUCUGGACUUAAAGGAGCUCUGGCUAAAGUCAAAGAGAAGACCAACAAGUCCAGUAUCUCGUUACAGGUAAACAGAGUGAAAACUGAGCAGACCAAAAAAGAAACAGAUGCAUAUGUGGCAGUGGCAAAAUAAUCUCUCUUCUCUUCUCUUCUCUUCUCUUCUCUUCUCUUCCAGCCCUCCAUCUCCUCCACCCUGCCUCCUCCAUCUCCCACCUCCAGCUCAGGACCUGACAGAGACGCAGACACGCCGUCACCCAUGUCUGCCAGCUCUGCGAUGUAUCGCUCCGCUUCCCAUUGCCGCAACAACAACAACAACUCUGCCAGGCCUCACUCUCCCUCGCAGUGCCAUGGCGACGAAGACGAGAUUCUUGCCGUGAACCGAAGAGAGGAGGGUGCCAGUGAGGUUGAUGGAAGCAGAUGUGGGAAUAGGAAGGAGAAGACGUUGUGAUAAAUCUUUAAAGGAAAAGUAAAAACAUGACCAGUGUAUCUGCUGUAAAUUGACAGAAUGGUGGAGUGAAAGAGAGGGGCGGUUCUGUAAAUGAGCAUUUGAAAAUGUUUGGAACGGCUUCAAUGCAAAAAUAUCAAGGUAGUACUGUAUUACAAUCUGACCCAUGACACACUGUCUACAUCAUGCUGUGUAGUCGUUAUAUAAAAACCUGGUAUAUUUUGUCACUUUGGUCGAUGUUGCAUUAGCUGCUGUGGGAUGAGCUGUGUUUUGCAUUAGAACCUACACAUCUUGUGGGCGUCCCUGUCUGUCCCUGUAUUUCUCAAUAUGGAGUCGUAAGAACAAGUCCAGAUUCAUUCUGUUCAUUCUGUUCUCCAUUUGCUUUGCAGUGUUCUCUCAGCCUCCACCACUGUGUUCAUCUUUAUUAUUCUCAAUAUAAGAUAAUCUAAUGUAGGAGCAAGCCAUUCCCCACCUGGUUACCUCUUCAGAAUUCAUUUUUACAUCAUCUACACUGAGUUCACGUGACUGAAUUCAAUGUAGCUGUGAUGAUGACUGAAUGCUGCGUGGGAUGGCAUGGCUAAGCCAUUACAGUAAUUUAGCUGUUUAUAAUCAUUUCUACGAAACUGAACUUCUUGUCUUUCUAAAACAUACAAACAUGUUUUUGCUGUUGUUGUCUGCUAACUCUGUACGGAUUAUUUUGUAACAGUAAAACCACAAUUUGCCUUAUAAGUUUUGUCAUUUACCCAUGUCUUGUGUUGGUGUGAGUAGCUUGCAUUGCUGAUGUUUGAAACACAGUACAGACUUUGUGUUACAAAUAAAUGUUGACAGGUCAUCUGAGAUUACUUUAUA
rnacentral:lncRNA from 1 species